rnacentral:lncRNA from 1 species
UGGAUCGUCUGAUGGAUGCCUUUUAGGGAGGCAUCAGGUGGAGAUCUGGCAGGAGAAGGAGAAGAAGAUGUCGGAGAAGGUGACUAGAUAUGGUCUCAUUGAGCACUUCUUUAAGAACAAGGGUACUGCGAAGACACAGACCCUUUCUCUGGUGCCAAUUCUAUUGGUGCAGAAUUUCACCGACGUCGGAGAAGCUGAAGUCGAGAGGAUCGCAUCUGCCAUCG